rnacentral:lncRNA from 1 species
CACAGUUUCUGAGAUGGCCUCAUUCAGUAUAAUGAAAGAUAAACUUGUUAGGGGAGCAGGCUGCCCUCAAAGAGCCAAGGAGGCUGGGGCUGCUCUGCACAGCAGACCUUGAGCAUGAGCCAGAGUUGGGUUGGAAGGGAACUGGAGGUAGGAGAUGUCCCCCCCAUCUGGGGGAUUUCUCUGCUUGUAGAGCAGGGAGUGAAGGAAAGGACGGGUUGCCCUUUGACAGCAGGAGACUGCUCCUCCAGGUGUAUUCUCCUCUUUCUAACCAGAAAAUCCACUGCAAACCUCUGGGUCUGAGCAUCCCUGAUCCCCUGGAGCUGGGGAAGACAUUGGCACAAAGUUGAAGAUGUUGACACAAACCAUCCAUACACUCAGUGACCCUCACUGGGACUUGCCCCAGAGGCUACAAAGAAGAAAAGGGAGAUUUUAAGAGCCCAUGAUGGCAGCAGAAGCUCAGGUACAAGAUUUUUUCUUCCCAAUUAACCUGCCAAGGACCUUCCAGCAGUUUCACACACAGCAAACACAUGGAUGAUGCAGCCCUGUGCUCCUGCUGGGUGCUGUCCCUCUUUCUCACUAUUAUUACCAAACUCCUGCCCAUUAAUCCUAUCUUGUUGAGUUCCUCUUAAACAAAAGUCAGCAACUGCAAAAUGGAAAAGCAAGUAAGGCUCAUUUCAUUUUCUUGGUGUGUGUGAUGACCAUUGACAGGGUUUGCAUGUGUGACUGACAUGGUAGAUUAAUUUAUAAUAAAAAUGCAACAUUCACAUAAAUGACAUCAAGCGAUAUCUUCAGUGCUGUGCUCAUCUGCCUGAAGGGACAAUGUGGUUUUCUAUUACUGCUAAAGUGCACAAUAGUGUUGCUCGGCUGAUUUGGUUUUAUUUUUAUAUUGUGCUGCCAGUUCAGUUAGAAAUCUAGGCAAGCUCUGUCAAUGGCAAUAAGGCAUCCAUCCACCAAAAAACAGGUUUCUUCCCCAUUCAAAUCAUGAGGGCACCUAAGAAAUCACUGGUCACUUAAGGACACAAUGAGUUGUCAUAGUAACAUUGAAAAAAGGUGAAAUGCGUGGAUUGACAUGUGCCCUUUAAUAGAUUCUUUUGCCCAAGUGAAAAUGUAUUAAUUGAUCUUUCACAGCAC